GACAUAGGUGGCGAACGUUAUCCGGAAUUAUUGGGCGUAAAGGGUGCGUAGACGGUAUAGUAAGUUAGCAGCGGGGAAAUCGAGGCCCCAACCUCGUGGAAGUUGUUAAAUACUACUAUACUCGAGUACAGGAGAGGUUAACGGAACUCCAUGUGGAGCGGUAAAAUGUGACGAUAUAUGGAUGAACACCGAUAAAGGCGAAGGCAGUUAACUAUUCUGUUACUGACGUUGAGGCACGGAAAGCGUGGGGAGCAAAAAGG
rnacentral:rRNA from 1 species